ACGCUGGCGGCAGGCUUAACACAUGCAAGUCGAACGGUAACAGGAAUUAGCUUGCUAAUUUGCUGACGAGUGGCGGACGGGUGGGUAAUGCUUGGGAAUCUGACUUAUGGAGGGGGAUAACUACGGGAAACUGUAGCUAAUACCGCGUAAAAUCUUCGGAUUAAAGGGUGGGACUUUCGAGCCACCUGCCAUAAGAUGAGCCCAAGUGGGAUUAGGUAGUUGGUUAGGUAAAGGCUGACCAAGCCGACGAUCUCUAGCUGGUCUGAGAGGAUGACCAGCCACACUGGAACUGAGACACGGUCCAGACUCCUACGGGAGGCAGCAGUGGGGAAUAUUGCACAAUGGGGGGAACCCUGAUGCAGCCAUGCCGCGUGAAUGAAGAAGGCCUUCGGGUUGUAAAGUUCUUUCGGUGACGAGGAAGGUUGAUAGGUUAAUAGCCUAUCAAAUUGACGUUAAUCAUAGAAGAAGCACCGGCUAACUCCGUGCCAGCAGCCGCGGUAAUACGGGGGGUGCGAGCGUUAAUCGGAAUAACUGGGCGUAAAGGGCACGCAGGCGGUGACUUAAGUGAGAUGUGAAAGCCCCGAGCUUAACUUGGGAAUUGCAUUUCAUACUGGGUCGCUAGAGUACUUUAGGGAGGGGUAGAAUUCCACGUGUAGCGGUGAAAUGCGUAGAGAUGUGGAGGAAUACCGAAGGCGAAGGCAGCCCCUUGGGAAUGUACUGACGCUCAUGUGCGAAAGCGUGGGGAGCAAACAGGAUUAGAUACCCUGGUAGUCCACGCUGUAAACGAUGUCGAUUUGGGGAUUGGGCUUUGAGCUUGGUGCCCGUAGCUAACGUGAUAAAUCGACCGCCUGGGGAGUACGGCCGCAAGGUUAAAACUCAAAUGAAUUGACGGGGGCCCGCACAAGCGGUG
rnacentral:rRNA from 1 species